rnacentral:rRNA from 1 species
AGAGUUUGAUUCCUGGCUCCAGGAUGAACGCUAGCGUUAGGCUUUCCACAUGCAAGUUGAGGGGCAGCGCGAGAAAGUAGCAAUACUUUCUUGGCGGCGACCGGCGGAUGGGUGAGUAACGCGUAUGCAACCUACCUACUACUUUGGGAUAGCUCGUUGAAAGACGAAUUAAUACCUUAUAAUACAGGGACUCCGCAUGGAGAUAUUUGUUAAAGAUUUAUUGGUAGUAGAUGGGCAUGCGUUCCAUUAGUUAGUUGGUGAGGUAACGGCUCACCAAGACAACGAUGGAUAGGGGAACUGAGAGGUUUGUCCCCCACACUGGAACUGAGACACGGUCCAGACUCCUACGGGAGGCAGCAGUGAGGAAUAUUGGUCAAUGGAGGAAACUCUGAACCAGCCAAGUCGCGUGAAGGAUGACUGCCCUACGGGUUGUAAACUUCUUUUUUAAGGGAAUAAAGUGAGCCACGUGUGGCUUUUUGCAUGUACCUUACGAAUAAGGAUCGGCUAACUCCGUGCCAGCAGCCGCGGUAAUACGGAGGAUCCGAGCGUUAUCCGGAUUUAUUGGGUUUAAAGGGUGCGCAGGCGGAAUAUUAAGUCGGCGGUGAAAGUUUGCAGCUUAACUGUAAAAUUGCCGUUGAUACUGGUAUUCUUGAGUGUAUAUGAAGUAGGCGGAAUUUGUAGUGUAGCGGUGAAAUGCAUAGAUAUUACAAGGAACUCCGAUUGCGAAGGCAGCUUACUAAAUUACAACUGACGCUUAGGCACGAAGGCGUGGGUAUCAAACAGGAUUAGAUACCCUGGUAGUCCACGCAGUAAACGAUGAUUACUCGCUGUUUGCGAUACACAGUAAGCGGCUUAGCGAAAGCGUUAA